GCAAGUCGAACGGGAAACAUUUUAUUGAAGCUUAGGCAGAUUUAGCUUGUUUCUAGUGGCGGACGGGUGAGUAUCGCGUGGGUAACCUGCCUUAUACUAGGGGAUAACAGCCAGAAAUGACUGCUAAUACCGCAUAAGCGCAAAGAACCGCAUGGUUCGGUGUGAAAAACUCCGGUGGUAUAAGAUGGACCCGCGUUGGAUUAGCUAGUUGGCAGGGCAGCGGCCUACCAAGGCGACGAUCCAUAGCCGGCCUGAGAGGGUGAUC
rnacentral:rRNA from 1 species